UACGAGGGGGGCAAGCGUUGUUCGGAUUUACUGGGCGUAAAUCGCACGUAGGCGGGUCAUUAAGUCGGGGGUGAAAUCCUGGAGCUCAACUCCAGAACUGCCUCCGAAACUGAUGAUCUUGAGUUCGGGAGAGGUGAGUGGAACUGCGAGUGUAGAGGUGAAAUUCGUAGAUAUUCGCAAGAACACCAGUGGCGAAGGCGGCUCACUGGCCCGAUACUGACGCUGAGGUGCGAAAGCGUGGGGAGCAAACAGG
rnacentral:rRNA from 1 species